ACGGAGGGUGCGAGCGUUAAUCGGAAUCACUGGGCGUAAAGCGCACGUAGGCGGUGUCGUAAGUCGGAUGUGAAAGCCCUCGGCUCAACCGGGGAACUGCAUUCGAUACUGCGACGCUUGAGUCCAGGAGAGGGUGGCGGAAUUCCAGGUGUAGAGGUGAAAUUCGUAGAUAUUCGGAGGAACACCAGUGGCGAAGGCGGCCCCCUGGACGGCAACUGACGCUGAGGUGCGAAAGCGUGGGGAUCAAACAG
rnacentral:rRNA from 1 species